rnacentral:misc_RNA from 1 species
ACGAGUUUUUGAAAUGGGUUGUAGCUGGCUUUCUUGAAAAUUGUAGAGAAAGCAUGUGCACGCCUAACUCAAUCCACUCUCAAACCUCUGUGCACUUAUUGUAGGCUUGGCAAAGUUGAAGGGGCCCUAGGGUCUUGGAUAUAGAGCCUUGUCUAUGUUUUUAUACAAACGCUUCAGUCAAAGAAUGUAACUCGCGUAUAACGCAAUUAAAUA